rnacentral:rRNA from 1 species
UACAGAGGGGGCAAGCGUUGUUCGGAAUUACUGGGCGUAAAGGGCGCGUAGGCGGCCCGCUAAGUCGAACGUGAAAUCCCCGGGCUCAACCUGGGAACUGCAUUUGUGACUGCAUCGCUGGAGUGCGGCAGAGGGGGAUGGAAUUCCGCGUGUAGCAGUGAAAUGCGUAGAUAUGCGGAGGAGCACCGAUGGCGAAGGCAAUCCCCUGGGCCUGCACUGACGCUCAUGCACGAAAGCGUGGGGAGCAAACAGG